CCCGGCCGCGCGACCGCGCCUUUGUCUGCGCCGCUCCCGCCCGCGCCGCUCUGGCUACGUCCCUGCGGCUGUCCUCGGGCCCUCUCGGCCCUUCUCUGGCCCGGGCCCUCUCUGUCUCUCUCUCUGGCCCUGCCUCUCCCAGUCCCUAGCUCCUCGUCCCUUUCUCGGUCCUCAUCUAUUUAUCCCUGUCCUCUGUUCAUCGCGUUGCCCCGUCCCCUCACUUUCUCUGCCUCUGCCCCCUCUUUGUGUCUGUCUCUGUUUCUCUUUCUGCCUGUGUCUGUCUUGGCUUCCUGUCCAUGUCUCCGACUACCUUUGUUCAAAAGACUGCAACUGUGACCUGGCUGGGGCAGACUCGCCUUGCACAGGAGCGCGGUGGGUUCCUGAGAAUCUUUGGUGUGUUGAACACCGCCCACCCACAAAUACCAACAGCCCCGAGCAACCAACCAGAUGUCCAGGCGUGUGUCCCUUCCUGAACCUUGUGAGUCCGUGCUGGACUAUGGUCUGAGACCUUCCUGCCAGUUCACAGUGGAUCUGAAUGAUCUGAGAUGACUUCAGUCGGAUGGGGUCUCUGGUGCCUGAUCCUGUCACCCCCCGGAUAAUCUCAUUAGCAACAGCAUGCGUAAGGACAUCUGUUGUUUCUCUCUGCUCAGCUCAUCUGAGCACCUUGCUUUUGUGGUCGGAUCUGUGUCUAAAGCUCCCCAGUUUGAUAUGAAUCUACAUGUACUAACAAAGAACAUGGCCACAAGAA